rnacentral:rRNA from 1 species
UACAGAGGUCCCAAGCGUUGUUCGGAUUCAUUGGGCGUAAAGGGUGCGUAGGCGGCGCGGUAAGUCGGGUGUGAAAUCUCGGAGCUUAACUCCGAAACUGCAUUCGAUACUGCCGUGCUUGAGGACUGGAGAGGAGACUGGAAUUUACGGUGUAGCGGUGAAAUGCGUAUAUAUCGUAAGGAAGACCAGUGGCGAAGGCGGGUCUCUGGACAGUUCCUGACGCUGAGGCACGAAGGUCAGGGGAGCAAACGGG